CCCGGGCCUUGUACACACCGCCCGUCACACGCCGAAAGUCGGCAACACCCAAAGUCAGUGGCCUAACUCUUUGAGAAGGAGCUGCCUAAGGUGGGGUUGGUAAUUGGGGUG
rnacentral:rRNA from 1 species